CACUUGCUGACUGAGCUGAAAAGGGACUCCCCACUGAGCAGGCUCACCAGUGUCCCGACAGCUGGGCAGAUCAUGGGGACGGGGAAUUCUGAGCAGACCCUCUUCAGAAGUUGAGUCUCAAGGGGCCUUGGGGAACUUGGUCAGCAGAUGGCAAGACUUCAUCUGUCAGUGGGCGGGUCAGCUCAGCGGGACUCCUGUCUUUGGAACUGAGACUCAAGUCUCUACUCUGUACCAAGACAGAGAUGGAGGCCAGGAAACAAGACACACAACCAUUUUCCAUCAUCGAGGGGCAAGGCAGGGCUUGGCAUGAGGCAGAACCGGGCUCCAUCAAUGCCACAUGUCAGGAGGAACCCCUUUUCUGUUUCAAUCCCUCCUGCCCAUUUGUGGGAGGCAUUAGAGAGGCCUGACAUAGUUUUUUUUCUCCACGGCCUGAGGACGUGAUAGGAUUUCAUUCCCGCCCCACCUUGUGGUUGGAUGGAAUCAUGUGCCCAAUUCUGGUCAAGAUCAAGAAACUGAGAAACAAAGCAAAUCCGUGGGAUGCAGAGGGUACGCUGAUGACUUCUGCUGGGGAGAGAAGCCCAAACACACGUCCUGGGCAGAGCCCAGAGACCUGGAGUGUGGCUGCCAGUGGGCACCCGGCUGAGGGACAAGCAGGUGGGCCUCAGUGGUGGCUGCCAGGUCCCUGGACGCCGGGGGCCACCGGCUUUGCCUCUCCUCUGCCUCGGAAGCACCGGAGGCUUUGGGGAUCUGGUGGUCCUCCGGCCCUGAACGUGGACCUGGUGUGACAAAGGGAAGUUUGCCAUCUCCAUCCUCCUCAAGCUGCCUGUGCACCCCAGUAGCACUCACCCUCUCUGUGCUCCCGUCUGCACCGCAUGUCCUGGGGUCCUUCUUUGUGCUGCACCCAGUGACAGGAACCAGUGUCCCGACUGUGACUUACUUCCCCCCUCAGGGACACACAAGGACUUUCACAUCGAGGCUACUUUUCACCCCUUCUGCCUCCUGCAGGGACGCUGCAUGCAGAGGCAGGAGGACAGAGGGGCUGGUCUCAGGUGUGGCUUCUCUCAUACCUGGCGCAGGUGGCCACUCCCCUUCCCCCCCCCCACUCCCCCACCCCACCUCAGCUCCCGGGUGUGAAUGAGAAAGGGGAACCAAGAGAUCAUCAUUACAUGGGACAUGCCACAAACCCCAAAAAGACCCAUUUGGUGAAAAGAAGUAAAACAACCACAAGGCUAUUUUGGCCUGAGGUGGUCUCAUGGCUGAAGCAGCCGCUGGUCUCUUGCCUGGGCUACUCAAAUAGUAACCCGGUGUGUCCUCCCAUGUGCAUUUUCCUUCGGGUUGAGCAAAAACACUUUGUCAUCCUCCCACUCCUCAAUAGAGCAGAAGGGAAUGAAAGGCAACUACAGGGCCUUACA